UACAGGGGGGGCAAGCGUUGUUCGGAAUUACUGGGCGUAAAGGGCUCGUAGGCGGCCAACUAAGUCCGACGUGAAAUCCCAAAGCUUAACUUUGGAACUGCGUCGGAUACUGGAUGGCUUGAAUUCGGGAGAGGGAUGCAGAAUUCCAGGUGUAGCGGUGAAAUGCGUAGAUAUCUGGAGGAAUACCGGUGGCGAAGGCGGCAUCCUGGACCGACAUUGACGCUGAGGAGCGAAAAGCUAGGGGGAGCAAACGGGG
rnacentral:rRNA from 1 species